rnacentral:rRNA from 1 species
GACGAACGCUGGCGGCGUGCUUAACACAUGCCAGUCGAACGGAAAGGCCCUGCUUUUGUGGGGUGCUCGAGUGGCGAACGGGUGAGUAACACGUGAGUAACCUGCCCUUGACUUUGGGAUAACUUCAGGAAACUGGGGCUAAUACCGGAUAGGAGCUCCUGCUGCAUGGUGGGGGUUGGAAAGUUUCGGCGGUUGGGGAUGGACUCGCGGCUUAUCAGCUUGUUGGUGGGGUAGUGGCUUACCAAGGCUUUGACGGGUAGCCGGCCUGAGAGGGUGACCGGCCAAAUUGGGACUGGGGUACGGCCCAGACUUCUACGGGAGGCAGCAGUGGGGAAUAUUGCACAAUGGGCGGAAGCCUGAUGCAGCAACGCCGCGGGCGGGAUGACGGCCUUUGGGUUGUAAACCGCUUUCGCCUGUGACGAAGCGUGAGUGACGGUAAUGGGUAAAGAAGCACCGGCUAACUACGUG